GCCUACAUGGCAGAAGUUGACCUUCAUUGGCAGGGAUAUAUUCAGUCCUUGGAAGAGCUCUCAAGUGCUAUGCAUGGAACAUACGUUGAGUGUGUGCUUCUAAACUUUCGCUCACUUGUUAAUGAUGCUCUCAUGCAAGCUCAUGUCAAUGGACCAGAAUUAACUGAGCAGCUCUGUUGACUGACAGGCUUACAUUAUAGAGACAGCAGAGGAGCCAAGACUCUGUCAAGUUUCAUUGUCAACAACAUCCCAUAGCUUAUCAAGAAUGUGGUGUACAUUGCAGAUGGGGUAAGUUGUAGCUGCUUUUAAGCACCUCUUUGGCAUCAACCAGGGAGAAUCUGUUGCUAGUAAGGAAAUGUCUGUCACUGUAGGGGAGGGCAGGAAGGUGGCAGCUUACAACAGGGGAUGGGCAGAGUAGCCAGCAGCAGGUUCACGCUGCCAGGCCAGAGGAUGCUGGGGUAUCUUUCCUGUGAGGAAAUGAUGACAGAGGUGGGACU
rnacentral:lncRNA from 1 species